ensembl:lncRNA novel transcript
ACUUCAGAGAAAAGAUCUGAGAGAAAAGCCUGGGACUCUGCCACCCAGCUCCCUGGCCCCUGGGAGAAGCCAUGGCAGAUAUUUGGGAUGAGGCAGCAUGCUGGUCCCUCAGCAGCAUCCUUAUCACGUCAGCUGUGAGAGAAAUAAAACUGUGAGACUGUGAAGUGUAUAAAGGAUUCUACCGCUCUCCCGGGGCUUGGAGACCCACAGAUUGGAGAAAGGGCCAUCCAUGGAGGGCUGGAUGGUGUCCUCACUCUCCCAUCACACAGCUCUUCUGAUGAUGUUUUUGCUUGUCUUUCUGGAAGUUCGCUCUGAUCCAAAAUUACAUCUGCAAGGGGCAGCUGAAGUCCAUCAGUUCUGUGAAGUCUUCUGGGAGUUGCCUCAGCCUAGAGAUCUCUUCCUCCAUUUCUCCAAAUAUUUCAGUUAGCUCUAAAUGAACAAUUAGCAUCUCCUAAUUGUGCAACUAUUUAAUUUUGGUUUCCUCAACCAAGGAGUUAAUCCCUUUCUGAGGGCAGGUACUGUCAACUUCUUUUGAUUUUUCUACACUGCAUGUGGCCAUCCCAGAUAACUCACUAACAAUAAAUUCUUGAUGACAUGACUCUACAUGGUAAGACGGCACUACUCACUUGCCAAGAGCCAAACAGAUAUUUUGGAAUCAUUUCCCAGAUAGUGAUAAAAAAUGGGCACAGACCAUUUGUAAUCUUUCAUCCCAUCUUCCUUUUGACUAGUGUCAUCCCUGUAAACCAUGAGUGAUCAGGAUUACAUCUCUACAUUCAGCAGGAGUAGAAUAGAAUUUCCAUUUGCACACAAAACUGACUCACUGAGAGCAAUUUAGUGAUCUCAGUAGAUGGGCCUGCUGCAUGGAAAGGCAGCCAACAGAUGGGGAGUGUCCCUAUCUUAGCCAGAGGAGGGGAAAGUAUGGGAUUCAAUCUGUUUCUUUAAAAGCUGAAGGAUAAACUGAAGAUGAUGUUCAUAAAAACUGUAUUUCCAUUGUUAAGGAGAAAAAUAGAUAGGUAAGCUCAGCCCUCUUUUGAUAAAAGUUGAACAGAGAGGUGAAAAAGGGAAUCCAUUUGUUUAUGCACUUAUCCUAAAGAGAACAUUGAAAGUCAAGGGGGUAUGUCCAGUGGUUUGCAAAGUGGUGUCUCCAGGGGACAUUUACAGUCAAUGUCAUCUACAGAAAGUUGCUGUCUUUGCUAUAGUGAAGGGCAAAUCAUCUCCCAAUUGCGCUGCUUUUCAAGAUUCCAUGAGGAGCUCUACUCUUGAAAAUUUCUGAAUCAAAAUAGAAUCUUAAGGAGUCUAAUUCUAAAUACAAACUUCAUGUGUAAGAUUCUCGCCAUGGCUGUAUGGCAGGUUUUUAAAGAAAGUAUGAGAAUGGUGUAUUUUAUCCAAGUGCUUGUUGCUGUUUUGCUCACUGGUGUCCUAAGCACCUAGAAAAGUCCUUGGCAGUUUUUAGGUGCACAAUAAGUAUUUAAUUUUAUUAUUCCUAAAUUAUUGGUUCGAUGAUUGGGUGUAUACAAGUGCAUAUGUGGAUAUGUGCAUUUGAAUGGAGAGAAAGAAAAAGUACAUGCUUACUCUC